rnacentral:rRNA from 1 species
UUUGAAAGGGAAACGAUUGAAGUCAGUCGUACCGGCGGGUAAUCAGCCUUUUGGGUGUGAUUAUGUGGAGCGUGAGGAGUUAAUCACCCUCAUCUUUGCAUAUUCGUGCACUUUGGGUGUACUUGCUCGUGUGGUAGGUUAACAUCAAUUUUGAUCGUCAUAAAAUGAUUGAAGGAAUGUAGCUUCGAUCUUGUAUUGAAGUGUUAUAGCCUUCGGUAGAUGUGAUGAUUGGGAUUGAGGAUUGCAACGGAUACCCUUCGGGGCUACCCGUCUGAUCUCUGAAAGUUGCUCUGGUGCUGAAGGCUUGCUUACGGUAUCAAAGUGACGUCAACAGUG